rnacentral:rRNA from 1 species
UUUAAUUCGACGCAACGCGCAGAACCUUACCAGCCCUUGACAUGUCUAUGACCGGUACCAGAGAUGGAACCUUCCCUUCGGGGCAUAGAGCACAGGUGCUGCAUGGCUGUCGUCAGCUCGUGUCGUGAGAUGUUGGGUUAAGUCCCGCAACGAGCGCAACCCCCGUCCUUAGUUGCUACCAUUUAGUUGAGCACUCUAAGGAGACUGCCGGUGAUAAGCCGCGAGGAAGGUGGGGAUGACGUCAAGUCCUCAUGGCCCUUACGGGCUGGGCUACACACGUGCUACAAUGGCGGUGACAAUGGGAUGCAAAGGGGCGACCCCUCGCAAAUCUCAAAAAGCCGUCUCAGUUCGGAUUGGGCUCUGCAACUCGAGCCCAUGAAGUUGGAAUCGCUAGUAAUCGUGGAUCAGCAUGCCACGGUGAAUACGUUCCCGGGCCUUGUACACACCGCC